UACGAAGGGUGCAAGCGUUACUCGGAAUUACUGGGCGUAAAGCGUGCGUAGGUGGUUUGUUAAGUCUGAUGUGAAAGCCCUGGGCUCAACCUGGGAACGGCAUUGGAAACUGGCUUACUAGAGUGCGGUAGAGGGGUGUGGAAUUCCCGGUGUAGCAGUGAAAUGCGUAGAUAUCUGGAGGAACACCGGUGGCGAAGGCGGCAUCCUGGACCGGCAUUGACGCUGAGGCGCGAAAGCCAGGGGAGCAAACGGG
rnacentral:rRNA from 1 species